rnacentral:rRNA from 1 species
CCGGAUGCUCCAAUGCGAUGCAUGUCGCGUUGGGAAAGAUUUCAUCGGUAUGGGAUGGGGUCGCGUCCUAUCAGGUAGUCGGCGGGGUAACGGCCCACCGAGCCUACGACGGGUAGCCGGCCUGAGAGGGCGACCGGCCACAUUGGGACUGAGAUACGGCCCAGACUCCUACGGGAGGCAGCAGUGGGGAAUAUUGCACAAUGGGCGCAAGCCUGAUGCAGCGACGCCGCGUGCGGGAUGGAGGCCUUCGGGUUGUAAACCGCUUUUGUCGGGGAGCAAGCCUUCGGGUGAGUGUACCCUUCGAAUAAGCACCGGCUAACUACGUGCCAGCAGCCGCGGUAAUACGUAGGGUGCAAGCGUUAUCCGGAAUUAUUGGGCGUAAAGAGCUCGUAGGCGGUUCGUCGCGUCCGGUGUGAAAGUCCAUCGCUUAACGGUGGAUCUGCGCCGGGUACGGGCGGGCUGGAGUGCGGUAGGGGAGACUGGAAUUCCGG